rnacentral:rRNA from 1 species
GGAGGGUGCAAGCGUUAAUCGGAAUUACUGGGCGUAAAGCGCACGCAGGCGGUUGGAUAAGUUAGAUGUGAAAGCCCCGGGCUCAACCUGGGAAUUGCAUUUAAAACUGUCCAGCUAGAGUCUUGUAGAGGGGGGUAGAAUUCCAGGUGUAGCGGUGAAAUGCGUAGAGAUCUGGAGGAAUACCGGUGGCGAAGGCGGCCCCCUGGACAAAGACUGACGCUCAGGUGCGAAAGCGUGGGGAGCAAACAGGAUUAGAUACCCUGGUAGUCCACGCCGUAAACGAUGUCGAUUUGGAGGCUGUGUCCUUGAGACGUGGCUUCCGGAGCUAACGCGUUAAAUCGACCGCCUGGGGAGUACGGCCGCAAGGUGA